rnacentral:lncRNA from 1 species
UCCCUUGUUACUUCCUAUGGUUGCCCUAGCCGACCUCUCCCAUGGCAUAGGGAACAACAACACCUCCCUCCAUGGAUGCCUCGUUGUCGACUUGUGCAGUUCAUAGUCAUCGGUGAGGUCCCUUUGUCUUGUGCUACUUAUCUCCUUAAUUGAUACAUGUGGUUUGUGGUUGAUUGUGAUUAUGUGUGUGCUUAUGUGUGAGAUGUGAGGGGGAAAUCCCAGGAUUUGGUGAUGAAGAAGCAUGGUCCAAUAUGACGCCCGCCAGGUGUUCGACGAAAUGUUCGAAUUGGGAUUCGUUGUUGAUAUUGUGGAUCUGAGUAGCAUUUUGUAUUGGUGAGCUGGUUCACUAUUUCUCUUCUUGGUUGGACAGAUGGAUUAGUUGGAUGUUUUAAUUAUGUUGGUCCUCUUGACAGUAGCAUGUGUGUGUCAUGGUUGUAGGUAUAAUACUUAUUGAAAUGCAUGUGUCACUUGCAGUGAUUUGGUCGAUGUCGUGUUUAUGUGUAUGGAUUGAUGUUAGUGGAGAAGAAAGUUAGGUGAGGAAAUCACGGUGAAUACAAUCGUCUAUACAUGGUGGUUGUGUUUAUGCCUAUAAUGAAUUUCAUUUGAUGUAUGGAGUUGAUGUCCUGUUAUGGGAAUCAUUAUUCUAUAUGUGCUGAUCGAUUAGGAGUCUUGACCAAGUGUUGAUUGAUACUUGAGUAUGAAAUAGACUAGUUUAUAUACACGAUUAACUAGGUGGUUUUAGUUCUAAUUUAGGAUGAUGUAUUAGAAUAGUUGAAGUACCAAGCACAUGGUGAUUGUAGAAGUUAACUAGGAGCUAAAUUGAAUUGUUGUUGUUUGGGACUGCAUGACCAGUUUUAGUUGUGCAGCUAGUUCAAUGAAGUAAACCAUGUUUUCUGUAGAAAUGUUAUAGGAAAGUUGUAGAUCACUUCUUUAUCUUGAUUGUGUGACAAUUUCAUGGCCAUAGGUUUAGUAGUUUAGGAGUUAUGAUGUUUCCAAAUCCAGUAUUAGAAUCUGUCCAGAUUCUAUACAGAUUUCGAAAAUGACCUUGUUUGCCCAAGUUAAACUUAGAAUCAGUUCUUAUAAAUUAUAAAGAAGUUAUAGUACUUUUCUUAAGCUUUCCAAAAAGUAUUGGAUCAACCUUUUUGGUGGUUUAGAGGCUAAGUUAUAGCUGUUUGAAGUGUGAUCUCUGAAUCUAUCCAAAUUUGGACAGCAGAGACUUUCUCAUGUCUUUUGAUCUUGAUCUGCAUUGAAUUAACCUGAUAUGUUUAUAAAUGAAUUGUAGACAUUUCUACUAGAUUUCUAAAAUGUCUAGGACCACUUGAUUUGGAUGCUUGAGACUCCAGUUAUGGAUUUUUGAAGUGAGUAGUCGAAUUAUGUCUAAAUCUGGACAGAAUUUACGUUCAACACUGAUUGACCUUUCAAAAUGCCGAAUCUUGUUGUGAUGGUAAUACCAAAGGUGUAGAGGACUUUAUAAGCUUUCCAUAAAGUCCUAGUUUACUAUUUUUGGAUGAAUAUCUUGUGAGUUAUGAGGAAAACAAGUGACUACUGUGCUGCUGUCCAGAAAAUCUACAUGUGUUAAAUUGAUUGCUUUGUGUCAUUCUUGUUUGGCUACGUAGGAUUAGUCAAUUCUUGAUCCUUGAUUGAUGACAACUUGUUGCAUAUGAAGUGUUUAUCGAAAUGCCUUGUUAUAUUUGAUUAAUUCAUUUCCUUCUUAAUGUUUGCUCUAGACUUUAGUAAUUGGGAAGGAAGUAAAUACUUCGGUGAGUGUAUUUGAAUUAUGACUAUUUAGGCCUUGUGUGAGUAUGGUGAACUCAAUAAUGCGAAAAAGGUUAGUAUACAUAUAUAUCUAGUAUUAUUGAGUUGAUUCGAUUGUCUUGUGUUUAUAAGUGUACAAUAAGUGCCUGAUACUUGAGUUGGAUCUAUUUAAGUGGAAGAGGGUGUGCUUGUGGUACUUAGAGGUAGAUCAACAUCUACUACUUGUUUUUAAGUAUUGCUAGCCAUCGGUGUCAUAUUCUAAGUAUGUUAGAACUUGUUUAGUUAAUGUUGCUUAAUAUUUAGUGUAGGGCCAUUUGAUUAAAAGUCAUGCUUGAGGUAGAGUGAAAUGUAUCUAAUGUUCCCCUAAGAGUUUUAAUGCCCUGCUUUAAGUGUUUACCCUCUUUAGUAUAGAAUAUCUGUCUCAUGUUAUUCAUGUCCAUGCUCAUAUGCAUUAUGCAUUUACAAUAGGUACGCUAGAUGACUAUGCGAGCUGAAGGACAUGGAUCAGAGCGAACCAUAAUAUGGUAUUGGUGGAUUAAUCUUGUGGAUCAAGCGAGUAUCAUCUAACAACACUAACUUAGUGUCAUCCUAGGCAAGCCCCGGUGCAUUUGCCACCUCCUUUUGUUCUAAAAACUUUUAUCACUUAUCUGCUGCAUUAGGUGAUAGGAGUUGUGUGAAUAAACAAUUGAUGAAUCAUCGUUCCUUGGAAUUUGAUUAUCCUCCUUGCUACCUGUUUUAUAAAUAGAACUAAUGAGGCUUAGGCCUACUUAGAAAACGAAAAGUUGUUUCUUUAAAAUGAAUGACGUGUCACACUGGAUAUGGGUUCUAUGAAAAAGAAACUUGCAGUAAUGAAGGCAUCACUCGCGAUGAUGAAUUCAUUAUUCAAGUAUCGUACCUCUGUUAGGUACAUGGUUUUGGGAGGUAAAUAAUAAGAUGAGACCAGACGUUGAGCAGGAAAGGUCGCCCGUCUGUGUCGUUUAAGGAUCGCAACGAUUGUUGGCUUGCUAAUCUAGGACCCUUUAACUGGCCACAUGUCUCAUCAUGGGUAAGCUUAGCCUUGGCUAGACCAAUACCAGAAAGGCCAGCCCGCAAAGGGAGUGGAGAGAUGGCGAGAGUAUCGUGUAUCCACCUGGCAAGAGGCUAGACAGUGGGGUAUUGAGCUCUCAGUUGGCAAGGACCCGUUCUGAUCUUGGGAAACCCGGGUGCGAGUUGACAUAUGCAAGGGUUAAGUGCUACAUAUGUCGUGUGGUUGGAGAUCUCCAGCUGGGUAUUAAUCGAUUCGGAUCACUGUACUUCUCGGAUAUGAAGACUAGAUCUUCGACCCUCAUCAUAGAUAACAAGUGAAACUAAAGAUGCUAAAAUGAAGCUAGUGUAGGACAAGUGAAUGCUCUAAAUGAGUCCUUAACUUGUGAAGUAAAAGUUUGGCAUAAUGAUCCACUACUAGUAAGUUUUUCUGCAAAAAUGAGUCCUUGAAAUUUGAUAAGCUUUACCUUGAUUCCCAACAAACCAGCAUACCCAUGAGAAUCUUUUCUUUAGUCGGGUAAGUCUUGCUGAGUAAUUGUGUACUCAGGGUUUUAUUUCCUAUUGUUUUUUAGGUUAUAAUUUUGUUCUGUUGUGGAUGGAGCUAAGUGCCGGUGGGCUCGGCCUUCUCAUAUGUAUAAGCAUAUCUCAUCUAUAGUUUCUUUAUUGAGGAUUAUCACAUAAGCUAGCAUAUAUUUUAAAACUUAUAAAUGUUUUAUACAUUUCUAAGUCUAAUUCUCUUGAAUCACUUUCUUUUGUAAUCACUCCAAUAAUUGUAUAAUGUAAACUUAUUGUAACUUGUAACCAUUUUGUAAUAAAGAAUUUCUGCUGCAAA